rnacentral:lncRNA from 10 species
GAAGUGGUAGGAAAUUUUUACAUAGGAGAGUAUGGUGAUCAUAUUUGCAUUUUAGAAAAUAAUGGAUAGCAGUUUGUUAGGGGAACAAAGGACAGAGACAGGGAGACUAUUUAAAACAUUAAUAAAAAAUACCAGUGACAGAUGAUGAGGCACCUACCUGAUGGGAAUGGAGAAGAGGAGAUGGAUUCAGAAACUACUUAGGAGGUAGCUGAAUAUGUAGCCUGCAAAUCAGGAGAAAAUUCUAGGUGAAGAUGGUAAUUGCGAAUCAUCAGAGUCUAUAUGAGGCAGGCAGUCCAAGGCUGAUGCCCAAAGAAGCCAUCAAGACCCGUGCUACUUCCAGCUCCUUCUGUCCUCAUAAUCAUAGAUGAUUGCUCCACAUCCAGCACCUAACACCAGUACUCAGUUAAAUUUUUUGCUGAAUAAAUCAAUGAAUGGAGAGGUAAAGAGGAACCAGAAGUUGGGGUUACAGAAGUCACUGAUGGAAGAGUUUCAAGAUAGUAGAAGUGGUCAGCCCUGUUAAGUGACAAGCCAAGGACUGAAGAAAGACUGGCAG